rfam:Rattus norvegicus chromosome 3, whole genome shotgun sequence.
UCAAAGGCCCUGAAGGGCCAUCAAUGUUUUCAAGAAAAAUCAGU